rnacentral:lncRNA from 1 species
GCCACCUGGCUCCACUCCGUCCGUGCCUGAGCCCAGGCGGGCAUCAGACUCCAGGGGUCCGGAGCCGCAGGCACGGAACACAGGCAGCUUUAGGGGCCUGUCGGGUUGGGAGUGCGGGGAGGGGUCUUCUGGGGGAAAGGAGACAUGGCAGGAAUCUUACAUCUAGAACUUGGGGUCAUGACCUGCGGGACGCACCCACUGACGCGGGGAUGGAGAAAAAAGUGGUGAGAAUUGGGCUAAUUGAUGACAAGCGCCAAGAGCUGUCUUGCCAGUGCCCAGAGCACCCCACCAGUGCCAGUUCAUAUUAACAGAGCGUCCACUGGCUGGGGACCAGGCCCCGGGAUGGGGAGGAGGUAAAGAUGCCAGGAUGGAGAGGAGACAAAAUUCCUACCCCGAGGGAGCAGGGAAAGUCUAGUUCAGACAAGACUUUUGAAAUUAUGAGCAGAGACAUUUGCAACUUUGCAGAAUGGAGGAACCUCACCUUGGAUGUCCCCAUGGAGCCUUGGAGGGAUGCAGAAGACAGGAUUGGCCAGCGACAGUCAAAGUGGCCGGCACCCCCCUCUACCAGCUCCCCAGUUCCUGGAGGCUGGGGGCCAAAAGAAAGACACAGGCUACUUUGACAACCUGAAAGCGAACUCCAGAAAUAUCACC